CGCGAUCUUGGUCUUGGUCCUGCUUGCCUUCUCCUCUCUCGCAGCGUAAAGAGGCAGCUCGAUAAACUCGGGUACGAGUACCGACUGUAUUGCUUCAAAGACCGUUCGCCACUGGGCUUCAUCGAUGCUCCAGCUCCAGGGCCCUACAUUCCGCCUCACCGGAACCCAAGGAGGAAUCAUCGACGCCGGUAAAAUAGACUAAAGCUCCAAUCGAGUUUUACGUCGCUAUGUGAAUAAUUCCGUGGCACAGAAAUAGUUUUUUUGCAAUUUGUCUUUGCUCAAGUGAGCUGCAAAAGAUCCCAAUGGGCGAGUGUUCCUCUCGAAUCUUGAGUAUGGAAACAAAACUACUCAAUAAUUUCUACUAUUAAUCUACA